UAUCGUAAGUCUUCCUCGAUAAGCUAUACGAGUCUUCCUUAGUAAGUUUUGCCAGACUUCCUUGAUAAGCUUUGCGAGUCUUCCUUAGUAAGUUUCACCAGACUUCCUUGAUAAGAUUUGCGAGUAUUCUUGACUAAGUUUUUGACAAUCACAUAAUAUAUUAUUUUAUAACACAACUAAAAUAGUUGGAGAUCAAUUUACGGGAUUUGUGUUUAUGUAUUGAAAGCAUCGCAUACUAGAAACAGGGAGCUUACUCUGUAGCAUGAUAUUUUCCAUGACAUUUCCCGCAACUCAGAAAUUGUCCAAAGCAAAACAAUAGGAAUUCCAAGUGAAUGUGCUGCAUCAGCCGUGAAUGGCAGAAAACCAUCGGAGAGUAUAGAAGUGACCUGAUGCGUUCCAGCAUUAAGCUCUGCGAGGAGAUUCUGAAAUGGAGGCAGCAUUCUUUUUUCAAAGACGGAUACCAAAAGUUAAGGUAUGUCUUGGGUUUUGUCAGCAUCAGAUGGAGGAAGGCCAUCAGUGAUGGUUUGGAAUCUGAAACUAGCUACGUCUCCUAGAGAUUGAAGACCUCCUGAUUUGAGAAAGCGUUUGUGGUUGAACUUCGUGUUCACAAAGGUAAUAAAAAUGCCUUUGCUGUGAAGGAUCCUUGCCAUUUUCAGUAUACCCUUAAUGUGGCUUUGAGAAGGGGCAGGUAUGCAAACUACAUGAGCCUGCUUCUUUGCUGCUGUGCUUGCGGAUGAAUCCAUAGAUGUUCUAAUAAAAUUUUGUGUUAGUACCAUGCCACACCCUUCCAAGCUUAUUAUGUGAUACCAACCGUGUUAGAGCGUCUACAACAAAUUGGUUACGUGAUGUUAAAGCGAAUGAUCCAAAUGAAAUACUCGAAAGUUAAGAAGUAGGGACGUAGAGUUAUCUUCUUGGCGAUUAUGAUUAUUCAGCAGUGACAGAGAGUUUUCAGCAUCCUAGCAUCAUAUGUUUAUGCUCCUUCCCAUUCUUAACGGACUGGAAAACAAAUUAAGUGAUAGUGCAGAAGGUUUUCGAAA